GACGAACGCUGGCGGCGUGCCUAAUACAUGCGAGUUGAGCGCUGAAGGUUGGUACUUGUACCAACUGGAUGAGCAGCGAACGGGUGAGUAACGCGUGGGGAAUCUGCCUUUGAGCGGGGGACAACAUUUGGAAACGAAUGCUAAUACCGCAUAAAAACUUUAAACACAAGUUUUAAGUUUGAAAGAUGCAAUUGCAUCACUCAAAGAUGAUCCCGCGUUGUAUUAGCUAGUUGGUGAGGUAAAGGCUCACCAAGGCGAUGAUACAUAGCCGACCUGAGAGGGUGAGCGGCCGCAUUGGGACUGGGCCACGGCCCAAACCCCUACGGGAGGCAGCAGUCAGGAAGCUUCGGCGAUGGACGAAAGUCUGACCGAGCAACGCCGCGUGAGUGGAGAAGGUUUUCGGAUCGUAAAACUCUGUUGGUAGAGAAGAACGUUGGUGGGAGUGGAAAGCUCAUCAAGUGACGGUAACUACCCAGAAAGGUACGGCUAACUACGUG
rnacentral:rRNA from 1 species